GAUGAAGAACGUAGCGAAAUGCGAUAAGUAAUGUGAAUUGCAGAAUUCAGUGAAUCAUCGAAUCUUUGAACGCACAUUGCGCCCGCCAGUAUUCUGGCGGGCAUGCCUGUCUGAGCGUCAUUUCAACCCUCAUGCCCCUAGGGCGUGGUGUUGGGGAUCGGCCAAAGCCCGUGAGGGACGGCCGGCCCCUAAAUCUAGUGGCGGACCCGUCGUGGCCUCCUCUGCGAAGUAGUGAUAUUCCGCAUCGGAGAGCGAUGAGCCCCUGCCGUUAAACCCCCAACUUUCCAAGGUUGACCUCAGAUCAGGUAGGAAUACCCGCUGAACUUAAGCAUAUCAAUAAGCGGAGGA
rnacentral:misc_RNA from 1 species